CCUGGCAAAUGUCUGUUUGCAUAUGUGCACCAGUGCCACUCAGUGGUGGAAACUGCAGUGCAUGCAAGAUUAUCUCCGUUCUACACACCUACUGUACGGCUACUGCUAUUCUUUUAGAGGGGACACAAGGGCCUUGUGGAUGUUGUGUCCAGUCCCACCCCCCCUCGUUAGGGACAGGGGGUCCUAUGGCCCAGUCCUCCACUCGUUAGGGACAGGGGGUCCUAUGGCCCAGUCCUCCCCUCGUUAGGGACAGGGGGUCCUAUGGCCCAGUCCUCCCCUCGUUAGGGACAGGUAGUCCUAUGGCCCAGUCUUCCACUCGUUAGGAACAGGGGAUCCUAUGGCCCAGUCCUCCCCUCGUUAGGGACAGGGGGUCCUAUGGCCCAGUCCUCCCCUCGUUAGGGACAGGUGGUCCUAUGGCCCAGUCCUCCCCUCGUUAGGGACAGGUGGUCCUAUGGCCCAGUCCUCCACUCGUUAGGAACAGGGGGUCCUAUGGCCCAGUCCUCCCCUCGUUAGGGACAGGGGGUCCUAUGGCCCAGUCCUCCACUCGUUAGGGACAGGUGGUCCUAUGGCCCAGUCCUAUACUCGUUAGGAACAGGUGGUCCUAUGGCCCAGUCCUAUACUCGUUAGGGACAGGGGGUCCUAUGGCCCAGUCCUCCCCUCGUUAGGGACAGGAAAAAACGAAUACAUUCUAAAAGCUUUAACAAGAGCAAGGUAUUGUGUUUCAUUUGAAAACAGCAUAACAGUUUGUAAAAGCAGAAUAUUUCAGGUUAAGCAAAGCUUCUAUUUAAUUGAGAUAUUUCAAGUGUCUUUUUCAUGCAUUUCUAAAUCAAGCCUGUGUUUUAUGAACUGAUUCUGGAUUUUUGGAUGGGGUCUAUCCUCCAGCAUUAACCACUAAAGUUCUCACCCAUCUCGCCUAAUCCACAUAGCCAACAAUAAGUGGUCCCAAUGGGAAUCAAACCCACAAUCCUGACGUUGCAAGCACCAUGCUCUACCAACUGAGCUGCAGAGAACUAACCCAUUAUUACGUAACCUCCUUAAAGAGUUACGUUUAUGCAAGAUUCAUCAGUGCUGAAUGUUUUCAUACUUCAUUUCCAAAGCAUGCAAGUCCCCAAACUCAUACUAGAAGCUAUGGAUGCAUACAAAGCCUGCUCCUUUUGUGUUUUCUUAGACAGCAAACCUAUAGAAGAUAAUUUUUCUAAUACAACUGACCCAAAACCACAAUUAACCUGGUUGCACUUGACUAUAUGUUAGGGUAUAGAAAUGUCCAGAGAUUAAGAAAUUACAUGGGAAAAUAGUAAUUACACAGUAAUUACAAAAGAAAACACACA
rnacentral:lncRNA from 1 species